GUGUCGGAGGCCGUGGCGGCUCCUCCCCUGCGGGCUCUUCCCCCUGACCGGGCGCUUCAUGAGACUGUUCUGGCCGCACAGCCUGGCUGCGGCUCCGGCUUGGGGUUCCUCAGGUGAGGAUGGAGUAGUAGCCGAUCCUCGUUUUCCUCGCAGGAAUCGCCUGCGGUGGUACUGACCAUGAGCUCCGAGCGUAGGGUGCAGGCGGCGCCCCGGUCUGACGGAGGUGGUUGCGCCUGUGGCCGCCGGGGCAGCGGCGGAGGCAGCUGGCGCCUCUUCCUGGGCUUCUUCGCGCUCUCGCUUGCGCUGCACCUCCUUACCCUGGGCUGCUACCUGGAGCUGCGUUCCGAGCUCCGCCGGGAGCGGGACCCCGAUCCCACGCCUUCUCCCCGUCACGGGGGUACCGCGGCCGCCCAGGGCUCCUCUGGCUCGGCCCGCCUGCAGCACCUCGCCGAACCCACGGACCGCCGCCAGCAGCUUGAAGGAGUCUGUCUCACUGUUCCAUCAACCACACUUGUGCCUUUUGGACCUCUCGUGGGAGCUCUGUAGCAACUGUCAACAUGUAUGGAUUCUUUUCUAAAGCAACAUCCAAAACUUCAACAACUUUUCAACUAAGGUAUGCAGUUUUAUUACAGAAUGCUGUCUGUGACUAUUGCCUUUCCACUGUGCCUAUUAUAUGAUAUACAAACACCUGGAAAUGACAGACUUAAUAUUAGGAUCUGUGUUUCUGUAGCUUGGAAAAUUGCUUGCAAAGAAUCCAUAGUUUGCUUCCCCUUUGUAUAUUUGUGUGGGUCAUUGUAACUGAAUACAUUUAAUUCACAGCUGUAACCAAAGUGCUCUAGCUAGUGCAUCUGCUUACAGUAAUACAACCUGAGUUAGAACUGUUUAUUCUUAAGCUCAUUUUGAAGAAGCUCUGGGAUCCUUUCUAACAUUAUUUAUAAUAGUUUAGUGUAAAUCUACAAAUUAUCUUCAUAUUCUGUGCAUAUAUUCUUAUUAGUCUAAACCAACUAUUUUGACACUGGUUCAUACACCAGUACUUUGUUCCACACUUUUUGUCUUUGAUCCUAUGGGCUGUCUCCUAUGCCUUUUAAUGAAACUUUUUGCUAGGCUGUUAUAUACCACUAGUGUGCAUCUCUUAUUCUGCUGUUUGAGUUCUUAAUAAACAAUGGAACUUAAGCUGGGGUUUGAGCAGCAUCAGAGAUCACUGAAAGUUAGAACACACAUAGUUGCAUAAGAGACAAUGGUUAUGUCCAAGUAUAGCUAGCCAAAAUUUUAUUCUGAAAGACCAGCAUAUUUGUUUAAGAAGGCUGUGGGCUUCUGGUUUAAAGUGUUUGCUAUAUUGGUAUCUAACUUAGUACUGUCACUGCCACUCAAAGUAGACAUAG